rnacentral:lncRNA from 1 species
AGGGCCUAACCAAAUAAAGUGUAUUUACAAAUAAGAUAGGCUAAACGGCUUCACAUCUAAGAUACUAGAUAUUUGCUGUAUUCAAUAAAAGUCGUAUUUAAGUUUCAUAAACAUUGGCACGAUGUUCAUCCGAGUCCAGUACCCUCCGUCUACAUUCCAUCUUCGUUUGGACUUGUGUCAACUGAUAAAACAAAUGUUACGAUAAAAAAGGCAAGGAGGGAUCCGAUAUGCAUACACACCGUGAUAUAGCUUGAUUUCUUUUUUCUAAACUUGUUCGUAGUCAUUAAAUAAAGUAAUCGAAGUGGUUUUAGUUUUAAAAUAUCUGACUUCUUUUCUUGUAUUUUCUCUUCUAUAUAUGUAUAACUAGAUGCAGAAAAGAACAGCCAAGGAAAAACUGUUGCAAGUAAAGAAACGAAAGAUGGCUUAUCCGCUGGAUAUAUAGCUCUCAUUGUUGUGCUAUCUAUACUUGUCGUAGGCGCUGCUGGUUUUGGUUCCUUAGUGAUUUACAAAAGAACACGUGCUGUAACGCCUUCAAGCUAUGAAAAAGAAAAUCCCUUAGAAGAUCCCAUGAAUGCGAUAAAACUGUACCAGAACCUACAAAUGAUGACGUCCCUUAAACGAAAUCCAGUACCAGAAGUUCCGAAAAGACAUGAAAUCAAACACGGUCAUGUGUACAUUGAUCACGGCGAAGCACACAUAUUUGGAAUAACAAUUCAUCUACCGCAUCCAUUUACUCAUACCUGAGAUCAUGACACAUAAACACACACAAAGAAAUGAGAAAAAGAAGUAAUACUGAAGAAGAAAUGAAAUGCUUAUAUUUCAACAGUCUUUUUGAGAUUCUUGAAACAUUUGCAUUGUUUAAUAAUACUAUAUACUCUAUAUGAUUACUAUUAACAUGUA